rnacentral:misc_RNA from 2 species
UAACGGUAGGAUUUUGUUGACAAAAAGCCCUUAGUUAUCAUAAAAUAAGGGCUCCGAGCGAUUUGCUCGAAUUAGAUAUCACUUGGCGGCUACCCUAGAGUUGCUAUGAUCUUUGGGUCCCUCGUAAUGGGCACCUACGAAUCGUGUCAGGGCAGGAAUGCAGCAGCACUAAGUAGGACCGUUCAUCUGACGAGGGGUUACCUGGAGGGAGUUUCUUUAGGGUGGCUACCAAAUGGUAUCUGGUUCGGCAGCUCGGUA